GAUGAACGCUGGCGGCGUGCCUAAUACAUGCAAGUCGAGCGAACAGACGAGGAGCUUGCUCCUCUGACGUUAGCGGCGGACGGGUGAGUAACACGUGGAUAACCUACCUAUAAGACUGGGAUAACUUCGGGAAACCGGAGCUAAUACCGGAUAAUAUAUUGAACCGCAUGGUUCAAUAGUGAAAGACGGUUUUGCUGUCACUUAUAGAUGGAUCCGCGCCGCAUUAGCUAGUUGGUAAGGUAACGGCUUACCAAGGCGACGAUGCGUAGCCGACCUGAGAGGGUGAUCGGCCACACUGGAACUGAGACACGGUCCAGACUCCUACGGGAGGCAGCAGUGGGAAUUUUCCGCAAUGGGCGAAAGCCUGACGGAGCAACGCCGCGUGAGUGAUGAAGGUCUUCGGAUCGUAAAACUCUGUUAUUAGGGAAGAACAAAUGUGUAAGUAACUAUGCACGUCUUGACGGUACCUAAUCAGAAAGCCACGGCUAACUACGUG
rnacentral:rRNA from 1 species